GCCUCUAUAGCUCAGUGGUAGAGCACUCAGCACUGGUCUCGUAAACCAGGGGUCGUGAGUUCAGUCCUCACUGGAGGCA
rnacentral:tRNA from 1 species